rnacentral:rRNA from 1 species
GGGGGGACCAUCCUCCAAGGCUAAAUACUCCUGACUGACCGAUAGUGAACCAGUACCGUGAGGGAAAGGCGAAAAGAACCCCGGCGAGGGGAGUGAAACAGAACCUGAAACCGUGUACGUACAAGCAGUGGGAGCCUUCGUAAGAGGGUGACUGCGUACCUUUUGUAUAAUGGGUCAGCGACUUAUAUUCUGUAGCAAGGUUAACCGUAUAGGGGAGCCGAAGGGAAACCGAGUCUUAACCGGGCGUUAAGUUGCAGGGUAUAGACCCGAAACCCGGUGAUCUAGCCAUGGGCAGGUUGAAGGUUGGGUAACACUAACUGGAGGACCGAACCGACUAAUGUUGAAAAAUUAGCGGAUGACCUGUGGCUGGGGGGUGAAAGGCCAAUCAAACCGGGAGAUAGCUGGUUCUCCCCGAAAGCUAUUUAGGUAGCGCCUCGUGAACUCAUCUCCGGGGGUAGAGCACUGUUUCGGCUAGGGG